GGUCCCGCAAGGGAUGCUGGCGACCGGCAAACGGGUGCGGAACACGUACACAACCUUCCUUUAAGUGGGGAAUAGCCCGGGGAAACCCGGAUUAAUACCCCGUAAUAUUAUGAAAUGGCAUCAUUUUAUAAUUAUAGCUCCGGCGCUUAAUGAUGGGUGUGCGGCUGAUUAGAUAGUUGGCGGGGUAACGGCCCACCAAGUCUGCGAUCAGUAACUGGUGUGAGAGCACGACCAGUCACACGGGCACUGAGACACGGGCCCGACUCCUACGGGAGGCAGCAGUAAGGAAUAUUGGUCAAUGGACGCAAGUCUGAACCAGCCAUGCCGCGUGGAGGAUGAAGGUCCUCUGGAUUGUAAACUUCUUUUAUUUGGGACGAAAAAGGAUCUUUCCAGAUCAACUGACGGUACCAGAUGAAUAAGCACCGGCUAACUCCGUGCCAGCAGCCGCGGUAAUACGGAGGGUGCAAGCGUUAUCCGGAUUCACUGGGUUUAAAGGGUGCGUAGGUGGGCAGGUAAGUCAGUGGUGAAAUCCCCGAGCUUAACUUGGGAACUGCCAUUGAUACUAUUUGUCUUGAAUACUGUGGAGGUUAGCGGAAUAUGUCAUGUAGCGGUGAAAUGCUUAGAUAUGACAUAGAACACCAAUUGCGAAGGCAGCUGGCUACACAAAUAUUGACACUGAUGCACGAAAGCGUGGGGAUCAAACAGGAUUAGAUACCCUGGUAGUCCACGCCCUAAACGAUGGAUACUCGACAUUUGCGAUACACUGCAAGUGUCUUAGCGAAAGCAUUAAGUAUCCCACCUGGGAAGUACGAUCGCAAGAUUGAAACUC
rnacentral:rRNA from 1 species